rnacentral:misc_RNA from 1 species
AACGCAAAUUGCACUUCUUGGUAUUCCGAGGAGUAUGCUUGCUUGAGGGUUGGUCCAUAAAAAAUCGUAAAUUUUUUUUACGGAUCUGGGCUUUCCGAGUUUUUCGACUUCGGUUGCCUAAAAUUUAUCUUAACAAUGAGGUGUUAAUUAGAAAUGUUUUAUCUUACAUAUUGUAAGUUCAUCAAUAAUUAUACCAGUUGUUAUAUCGCGUUAUUCAUCUAGUAUCUUUGAUUAGGUGAAAUAAUUCAAUUUUUUUAAUCCUACCUCAAGUCAAGCAAGGAUACCCGCUGAACUUAA